UAGCAAUAGGUAUGCUUAGGGAGGAGCUUGCGUCACAUUAGUUAGUUGGUGGGGUAAAGGCCUACCAAGACUAUGAUGUGUAGCCGGGCUGAGAGGUUGAACGGCCACAUUGGGACUGAGACACGGCCCAAACUCCUACGGGAGGCAGCAGUAGGGAAUUUUCGGCAAUGGAGGAAACUCUGACCGAGCAACGCCGCGUGAACGAUGAAGUAUUUCGGUACGUAAAGUUCUUUUAUUAGGGAAGAAUAAAUGAUGGAAAAAUCAUUCUGACGGUACCUAAUGAAUAAGCCCCGGCUAACUAUGUGCCAGCAGCCGCGGUAAUACAUAGGGGGCAAGCGUUAUCCGGAAUUAUUGGGCGUAAAGGGUGCGUAGGCGGUUAAAUAAGUUUAUGGUCUAAGUGCAAUGCUUAACAUUGUGAUGCUAUAAAAACUGUUUAGCUAGAGUAAGAUAGAGGCAAGUGGAAUUCCAUGUGUAGUGGUAAAAUGCGUAAAUAUAUGGAGGAACACCAGUAGCGAAGGCGGCUUGCUGGGUCUUUACUGACGCUGAGGCACGAAAGCGUGGGGAGCAAACAGGAUUAGAUACCCUGGUAGUCCACGCCGUAAACGAUGAGUACUAAAUGUUGGGUAAAACCAGUGUUGAAGUUAACACAUUAAGUACUCCGCCUGAGUAGUACGUACGCAAGUAUGAAACUUAAAGGAAUUGACGGGACUCCGCACAAGCGGUGGAUCAUGUUGUUUAAUUCGAAGGUACCCGAAAAACCUCACCAGGUCUUGACAUGCUUCUGCAAAGCUGUAGAAACACAGUGGAGGUUAUCAGUUGCACAGGUGGUGCAUGGUUGUCGUCAGCUCGUGUCGUGAGAUGUUGGGUUAAGUCCCGCAACGAGCGCAACCCUUAUUGUUAGUUGCCAGCACGUAAUGGUGGGGACUUUAGCAAGACUGCCAGUGAUAAAUUGGAGGAAGGUGGGGACGACGUCAAAUCAUCAUGCCCCUUAUGACCUGGGCUACAAACGUGAUACAAUGGCUGUUACAAAGGG
rnacentral:rRNA from 1 species